GACCCAAUGGCACAACGGUUAGUGCACUUGCUUUCAUUGUGAUUUUGAAUAGAGAGUUUUAGGCAAGAGGUCCCCUGUUCGAUUCGGGGUUGGGUCA